rnacentral:rRNA from 15 species
UCAAGCAACUAAGCGCAUACGGUGGAUGCCUUGGCAGUCAGAGGCGAUGAAAGACGUGGAAGCCUGCGAUAAGGUUCGGGGAGCUGGCAAACAAGCUGUGAUCCGGGCAUUUCUGAAUGGGGAAACCCACCGACUUUCGGGUCGGUAUCUUGCACUGAAUACAUAGGUGUAAGAGGCGAACCGGGGGAACUGAAACAUCUAAGUACCCCGAGGAAAAGAAAUCAACCGAGAUUCCCUAAGUAGCGGCGAGCGAACGGGGACUAGCCCUUAAGCUAGACAACUGGUAGGAGAAGGCUCUGGAAAGUGCCGCCAUAGUGGGUGAUAGCCCCGUAUCCGAAACCUGAGUCUGGUGAAAUCGAGUAGGACGGGACACGUGAUAUCCUGUCUGAACAUGGGGGGACCAUCCUCCAAGGCUAAAUACUCCUGACUGACCGAUAGUGAACCAGUACCGUGAGGGAAAGGCGAAAAGAACCCCGGGAGGGGAGUGAAAUAGAACCUGAAACCGUAUACGUACAAGCAGUAGGAGCAGACUUGUUCUGUGACUGCGUACCUUUUGUAUAAUGGGUCAGCGACUUAUAUUUAGUAGCAAGGUUAACCGAAUAGGGGAGCCGUAGCGAAAGCGAGUGUUAACUGCGCGUUGAGUUGCUAGGUAUAGACCCGAAACCCGGUGAUCU